UACGAAGGGGGCUAGCGUUGCUCGGAAUUACUGGGCGUAAAGCGCACGUAGGCGGCUUUCUAAGUCGGGGGUGAAAUCCUGGAGCUCAACUCCAGAACUGCCUUUGAUACUGAGAGCUUGAGUCCGGGAGAGGUGAGUGGAACUGCGAGUGUAGAGGUGAAAUUCGUAGAUAUUCGCAAGAACACCAGUGGCGAAGGCGGCUCACUGGCCCGGUACUGACGCUGAGGUGCGAAAGCGUGGGGAGCAAACAGGG
rnacentral:rRNA from 1 species